GACAAACGGAAGGAUGACAUGUCUAUUUAGCUAGUGACCCUUGGAGAUGACCUUAGUUUGCUAUGUGAGUCAUAUAAAUAGUCCUCUUCCCACUCUACUCUAACCUAACUCCCUCCUCUCCCUCAGUCCCACACUCCCACCUCACGAGUCGCCGCCCCCGAUAUGUCCGCGACUCCCGGUUCCCCACCGAUCCCCUUCCUCUUCCUGACCCCCGAUCCUCUCCCUCUUCCCCGAUGCUCGUGCUCCCUGCCUGAGCCAGCCCCUCGCGUACUCCCUGCCUGCCGCUCCCGGCCAUAGUUGUUGUUUAUUUUGUAUAUUUCAUGGAUAUGGAUAAUCCAUGUAUAUAUCUGUAUACCUGGUGGAUAUGGAUGUGGAUAUGGUUUUGCAUUCACGGAUGUUUUCGUGGAUGGAUAGUUGGUUCGGCGAUGGACAUGGAUAUGGAUCUGGUUGACCCGUCGUCUGACCACUGACAACUUUUGCUCUUUUCUUUUUCUUUCUCUCUCUCUCCCACUUCUAAGUACAUUAUGGUACUUGACGUAUUUCCAAGUAUAUAUUUAGUACAUUAUCAUAUAUGAAUUGUACCUUAACAGUUUUUAAAUAUCUUCUGGACAUGAAUUUAUGAUACGAGUACAGCAUAUGGUACAUCACACGUACCUUAACAAUUUUUAAUUACCUUGUACACGUGACGAGUACAUGAAGAUACAUCACAAAUACAAUUAACAAGUACCUCAUCAACGGUAAAUUACAUCAUGUACCCGGACAAAAUUAGAACAAAAAACAUUCAUAAAUAACUAGUACCUCGUCAUGUACCAUGGGUACAUGAUGGUAUUCAAAAAUCACAGCACAAACAUUCCAAAAAGAAACCACAAACAUUCAAAAAAAUCACAUGGUACAUGAUGGUACUCCAAAAUCACAUCACAAAAUCAUGAUAAUGGUGAAUCCAACUAGUACCUCGUCAUGUACCAUGUACUAAAAAAUCACAACACAAACAUUCAAAAAAGAAACAAAAACAUUAAAAAAAUCACAUGGUACAUGAUGGUACUCCAAAAUCACAGCACAAAAUCAUGGUACAUGAUGAAUCCAAAAUAAAAAAUCACAUGGUACAUCAAAAGUCAAAAUAAAAAAUCAGAGCACAAAAAUCAAAAGCCAGCCGGCGCG
rnacentral:lncRNA from 1 species